GCGGGCGGGUGAGCGAGCGAGCGAGCGAGCAAGCAAGCGGCGGGAUCGGUGCGAGGUCCGUGCAAGCCUCGCUGCUGGCUCCUGCUCCGGGACGCGGACGCGGACGGACGCCCCGGACUCUGUUGACAGCAUUUCAGAAGGCACCAGCUUUUCUCUGUGGAUCCAUUCAUUCAUCGCGAGAAAUAUGCUUGUACUAUUUUUAAAAGCGUUUUACUUCCCCAGAGGGAAGUUCGCUCCCCAGGAUGGAAAUGAGUACAUAUGAGAGGGCGAUUUAAGGUGUGACCGUUGGAGGUGUCCUGUCAGUCACUGAGGGAGUAGAGUAUCACAAACACAGCUUCGAACCAGGAAGAUUUCAUCUUGACCAAAGUGACCGUAUCUAACUCCAGUUUUCUGACAUGAAAAGGCGAAGACAGAUAGCUGAAGAUGUUUCGUAAAUCGUCAGGAUUAGCUCUAGUCUUCUGGUGAUAGCGGUGAUGUGAAGUGAGUUACAGAUCUGGGUGCGGCCCUAAAGACACACUUCUUAAUGGGACGGAUGGUGAGAGCGGGAGGACCUCUUGUGCGUUCGGCUGGCAGUGACGGAGUUCGCCAUCAGCGGCAUGAGUGGCCCCGCCGAGGAACUCAAGCAGCUUGCCUCUAAAUCCAGAAGCACAGUCAUUUUUUUUUUUUACUCCUGUUACUUUGAAAACGUCCUCGAACCAUUUAAAAGGCAUUGACAACUAUUUUUAUAGCUUAAAGGAAGGCAGAUGUCUGCAAAUAACUCCCCUCCCUCAGCCCAGAAGUCUGUGUUACCUGCCACUGUUUCUGCUGUGGUGCUUCCAACUCCUUCUCCGUGUUCAAGUCCCAAGACAGGGCUCUCCGCUCGGCUCUCCAAUGGCAGCUUCAGCGCCCCGUCACUCACCAACUCCAGAGGCUCCGUGCACACGGUUUCAUUUCUACUCCAGAUCGGCCUCACGCGAGAGAGCGUUACCAUCGAAGCCCAGGAACUGUCUCUGUCCGCGGUCAAAGACCUCGUCUGCUCCAUUGUUUACCAGAAGGUACUGUGCAAGCCAUUUAUUUCAAUGGUUUUUUUUUUUCUAAUUAAUAUUGUUUCUCACACGUCUCUAUAAUGUAUGCAUGAAACAGUGAGAUGACACAUUUGGACUCGUCGGUAAUUUAUAUCCUGAUUAUGAACCUUUUGGGCAAUGCACUAAUACAAGACUAUGAGCCAAGAAGUCUGAAAUUUCAGUUAACGGGAACCUGUAUCUGAAUUUAAAAAUACCGCUUAGCCCCAAAUAGUGUCAUUUUAUAGUCAAGGGGUUAUACGACAUUUCCUUUGAUUUCAG